rnacentral:lncRNA from 1 species
AUAUCCAAUGUGCCUAAAGGCAGAUUUUUAAAAAGUUUGCUUUUCAGAAUGCUGCCACUUGACCCUUUUAUCUGUUGUAUUUAGAGUGGCGUGCUCACUGCCAUCUUAGGUUUGGGCGUAGGUCUGGCAUGUUACAUGGGAAGUGAAAUAUCCUGGGCAAGAGCAGUCAAACAUAAAAGAAACAUGAGAAAUUAAUAAAAGUAGGCUUUUGGAAAUGGGGUGAAGCAUGAGAUUAAAUGAUCUCAGUUAAUAGAAACUGUUACUAUAUGUUCAGCAGUGCAUGGGAUACUUACAUGGAGCUUAGUCCUGUCAUUAAUUUUUAACUUCUGUACAUUUAUAUACCUGUGAAUUUCUUCAGGAGGGUUUGAACUAUAGAAUUGCUUCUUUAAUCAGGAGAAAAAUCAGUGCAAGUAUGAAUUUGUUUUAGUGUUUAUAUGUGGAGUUGAAA